rnacentral:lncRNA from 1 species
GUCAACUUUUGGAUUUUUAUUAAAUCCCCAAAUCCCAGCGGACCAAGAUACAUGAGAUGGUUACAGUUCUAAUUUCAAUUAAUACACUCAACAUAAAUUUAAAGCCCAAAGAUUAGGCCCAGUUUAAUGACCUAAAUCCCCAUCGAGUGCCACGAACACUUCCACGCAUCCUAUCGACUGAAAGCUGCAGACACGCGUCACAAUCUUCUGAUGCAUGAUGUUCAAGCGUGGAGAUACGCAUUUCUUACGCGCCGCCGUGUGUUGAGAAGUCUGAGACGCCACACCGCCGCAAACGACGAACAGCAUGAGCCUCCUCUAUUGAACCGCAAUCUUUCUCAUCUGAAUCUCGAACUCGCUGAAGAAGUCUUUCGCUCGAACCGAGGCUAGUUGAUCAAGAAAGUCAGAGUCACCACGAGUUAAGCACAGUGGAAGCUUAAACCAAGUUGAAAUUUGAUUCUUUGUCAGACCGUUGUUAAAACACCAACUUCUACUGAAUCGUCUUCAACUGAGCUUAAAAAUCCAACAAACUUUCCCUUCCUUCUUUGAGAAGCUUUACUUUAACACCUCUAACGGCCAAAUACCAGUAAACACUGAUUCUCUGCAGAAGAAGCUUCGGUUGACGCGAUGAAACUGGUUUCCGAACAGAAGCUGACGGAAUAGUGAUGAAAAACAACGAAAGACUGAUUUCAUGAAACCGACCAUAGUGAUCGGGUUUAUUAUCUUCAAUCAACAAUCCGAUAAGAUUGAGCAUGAAAAUCAGUUCGGAAGCGAUUGAAGAAGCACAUCAAAAAUUCGCCAACGCGAGAGCUAAAUCCGCUAACCGGAAGACAAAAUCGAUCAGAGAUCGAAGAUAUAUCACAUACAAAAAAGGAUUAAAUCUCUCCCCCUUCUGAAAGAUCUGAAAUUGUUAAGAAGGGUUUGAGAGAAUUUCUCUCUCUAGGAAAGAGAGAGAGAAUCUCCGCAACGUACCUUUAGUAUUAU